rnacentral:lncRNA from 1 species
UAUUCUGUUUUCUGCCCUGAAGCCAAUCUGCAGUCUAAUGAGCCAGCAAACUUUCUAUUUCAGGACUCCACACCUUCGAUGUUAACCCUGUGGUGUGCAAUUCAUCUGCCCUACAGAAUUGAGGAUGGAAAGUCCUCCUUAAAGAGUUAUGAACUGGAAACAUGAUCUGGGAGUGGAAGUCACAGAAGCACCUGGUAGUCCAGCAGGCCAAGAUCGAACGAGGAGCAGCACUACGUGCCUGGGCCUCAGGAUAACCUGGAACACAGCAUAACCUCAUGCCAUAGUUACAAAGACCCUACAAGAGAAAUGCAGCAGAGACGGGACCAUGGCGCGCACAGCCACAGGAACGCGCAGACGCCCCAGCUUUCACCUACAUUUCACAUUAACUGCAGAUCAUUUUGUUGUAUUUCAUACUAAGGAGACCAUAUCAAAAUGAAGAUUUUUCUUAAAAAUCACAAAGCGUGUCGUUGUAGAGGAACAACUCCCUUUGGAAAGCAGACUUGCUGAGAUGUGAAAUGAGUUUACCAGCACCGG